CGAUCUUCGAUGCUACCACUAUUACUUGCUGAAGUAUUUUUAAACUAAGCUGCCCAGUCAAGAAGUUGGGGUUAGACUACUGACUGAUGAGAGGUCAUGUGGAGGAGAAAUGAGGGGCUCAGCCAACAGUCAAGCACCAAGGCCCCAAACACACUAAGGAACUAGAAGUUCAGAGAGGUUGCGACUUGCCUAAGGACCUAAAGCUAAAUUACUGCCAGAGAUGAAAUUCAAAUCCAUCCUCCGGGUUUCCCAAUACACCACAACGCCUCUCCUAUCAAGAAUAAAAAUUUC